AUUGAACGCUGGCGGCAGGCCUAACACAUGCAAGUCGAGCGGAUGAAGGGAGCUUGCUCCUGGAUUCAGCGGCGGACGGGUGAGUAAUGCCUAGGAAUCUGCCUGGUCGUGGGGGAUAACGUCCGGAAACGGGCGCUAAUACCGCAUACGUCCUGAGGGAGAAAGUGGGGGAUCUUCGGACCUCACGCUAUCAGAUGAGCCUAGGUCGGAUUAGCUAGUCGGUGGGGUAAAGGCCUACCAAGGCGACGAUCCGUAACUGGUCUGAGAGGAUGAUCAGUCACACUGGAACUGAGACACGGUCCAGACUCCUACGGGAGGCAGCAGUGGGGAAUAUUGGGCAAUGGGCGAAAGCCUGAUCCAGCCAUGCCGCGUGUGUGAAGAAGGUCUUCGGAUUGUAAAGCACUUUAAGUUGGGAGGAAGGGCAGUAAGUUAAUACCUUGCUGUUUUGACGUUACCAACAGAAUAAGCACCGGCUAACUUCGUG
rnacentral:rRNA from 1 species